CCAACUACAAAACUUGGGCGGUGGCAGAGAGCAAGACAAAAUCUGUAGCACCUCUCCUUGCCAAGCUAGCAUCGAGAGAAAACAGAGAGAGUGAGAAAAGAGAGCGAAACUGAGGAAGAGAGUGGGAGCUUGGUUGGUUUCUUCACGAAUUAACCCAGGGACAAGAAGAAAUAUGGUAAGGAAAGUAAGGGAGGCUGGAGCUAACACUCGAGGGCACAAAAGUUGGGAAGAGAAACUGAUUACGUUUGCAAUUCCUAACACUUAAGGCCAGAGGAAUUGAGAGUGAUCAAGGGUUUAACCCAGAAAGCGAAGCUUAAUCGACAUUUAACGGAGCUGGAGAUUGAAGAGUGAUUAGAUUGAAUUAGAAAGUUAUUUUGGGAAGAUCCAUUACCGUGUAUAUAUUGUAGUCAUAGUUUCUUUUAUAUUUUGAGAUGGUUGAAUCUUUUGUUUUGAAGUUGGUGUGAUAUUAAGAAUGGAUGUUUAGAACAUGU